AAAAUGUUAAACUCUCACUAGGAGAUUUUGCUCGGAGAAAAGGAAAGAAAGAACAAAAGCAUCUUCCUGCUAUAAACUUAUUUUAGCAAUUAUACGUCAUUAGCAUCUUAUAUGAAAGAGGAAAUUUCAUAUAAAGGUAAGGCCCUAAAUAUUUUCUUUCCUAGUCCUUACUAUAAUAUCUUCAAAUUCAUCAUUUUCUCAACUUGUAACCGCUUUUUAUUAACUUAUGUGUUUCUUUGUAUUAUAUUAUUGCUUAACUGCUAAAAUAGAGUUCAUGAUGGUUCUUGCCAAAUCUACAAAGUAAUUCAAACUCUGGGCUGGUGAAAGCCUGGUUUUAGGCCAAAAAAAAUCUUGCAUUAAGUUCAGAGUAACACCUAUUUACAUCAGUAGAUUAUGUUUUGCAAAGGACUCCAGGUCUAAGUAUCGCAAAUUCACAAACCUUAAAUAUCCUUUAACACUUUAAUCAGCACCUUCCACUCGGCACAAAUUUGAUAAGGUCUCAAUCAGCCCAUAGAGUCAUCAUGCACAUAUGUU
rnacentral:lncRNA from 1 species